AGAGUUUGAUCCUGGCUCAGAUUGAACGCUGGCGGAAUGCUUUACACAUGCAAGUCGAACGGCAGCACGGGAGCUUGCUCCUGGUGGCGAGUGGCGAACGGGUGAGUAAUGCGUCGGAACGUACCGAGUAAUGGGGGAUAACGCAGCGAAAGCUGUGCUAAUACCGCAUACGCCCUGAGGGGGAAAGUGGGGGAUCGCAAGACCUCACGUUAUUCGAGCGGCCGACGUCUGAUUAGCUAGUUGGUGGGGUAAAGGCUCACCAAGGCGACGAUCAGUAGCGGGUCUGAGAGGACGACCAGCCACACUGGAACUGAGACACGGUCCAGACUCCUACGGGAGGCAGCAGUGGGGAAUUUUGGACAAUGGGCGCAAGCCUGAUCCAGCCAUUCCGCGUGAGUGAAGAAGGCCUUCGGGUUGUAAAGCUCUUUCAGCUGGAACGAAACGGUACGCUCUAACAUAGCGUGCUAAUGACGGUACCAGCAGAAGAAGGACCGGCUAACUCCGUGCCAGCAGCCGCGGUAAUACGGAGGGUCCGAGCGUUAAUCGGAAUUACUGGGCGUAAAGCGUGCGCAGGCGGAUUGUUAAGCAAGAUGUGAAAUCCCCGGGCUUAACCUGGGAAUGGCAUUUUGAACUGGCAGUCUAGAGUGUGUCAGAGGGGGGUGGAAUUCCACGUGUAGCAGUGAAAUGCGUAGAGAUGUGGAGGAAUACCGAUGGCGAAGGCAGCCCCCUGGGCUAACACUGACGCUCAUGCACGAAAGCGUGGGGAGCAAACAGGAUUAGAUACCCUGGUAGUCCACGCCCUAAACGAUGUCAACUAGUUGUUGGGGGAGUGAAAUCCCUUAGUAACGAAGCUAACGCGUGAAGUUGACCGCCUGGGGAGUACGGCCGCAAGGUUAAAACUCAAAGGAAUUGACGGGGGCCCGCACAAGCGGUGGAUUAUGUGGUUUAAUUCGAUGCAACGCGAAAAACCUUACCUGGUCUUGACAUCCCGGGAAUCUUUAGGAAACUAGAGAGUGCCUUCCAGGAGCCCGGAGACAGGUGCUGCAUGGUUGUCGUCAGCUCGUGCCGUGAGGUGUCGGGUUAAGUCCCAUAACGAGCGCAACCCUUAUCGUUAGUUGCCAGCGGGUUAAGCCGGGGACUCUAGCGAGACUGCCACCGUAAGGUGAGAGGAAGGUGGGGAUGACGUCAAGUCCUCAUGGCCCUUAUGUCCAGGGCUACACACGUGUUACAAUGGCCGAUACAAAGGGCAGCUACUCCGCGAGGAGAUGCUAAUCUCUAAAGUCGGUCCCAGUUCGGAUUGGAGUCUGCAACCCGACUCCAUGAAGUUGGAUUCGCUAGUAAUCGCGCAUCAGCCAUGGCGCGGUGAAUACGUUCCCGGGCCUUGUACACACCGCCCGUCAAACCAUGGGAGCUGGGGGUGCCUGAAGUCUGCCACCGCAAGGAGCGGCCUAGGGUAAAACCAGUGACUGGGGUUAAGUCGUAACAAGGUAACCU
rnacentral:rRNA from 1 species